GGGUAGUGACGAAUGCCGUGUAUUGUAGUGCCUUAUUGGAUUGGUGCUGCAGUGAAGGUGUUCCAGGAAAUAGCUCCCGCGUAUAGACCGUACCCUAAACCACACAGGUGGACUGGUAGAGUAUACCAAGGCGCUUGAGAGAAUGGUGCUGAAGGAACUCGGCAAAUUGCCUCCGUAACUUCGGGAGAAGGAGGCCCUCGUCUUGGGCAACCAGGGCGAGGGGGCACAGACUAGGGGGUAGCGACUGUUUACCUAAAACACAGGGCUCUGCGAAGCCGUAAGGCGACGUAUAGGGUCUGACGCCUGCCCGGUGCCGGAAGGUUAAGAGGAGAUGUGCAAGCAUUGAAUUGAAGCCCCGGUAAACGGCGGCCGUAACGAUAACGGUCCUAAGGUAGCGAAAUUCCUUGUCGGGUAAGUUCCGACCUGCACGAAUGGCGUAACGACUUCCCCGCUGUCUCCAGCACCAACUCAGUGAAAUUGAAUUCCCCGUGAAGAUGCGGGGUUCCCGCGGUCAGACGGAAAGACCCCAUGAACCUUUACUAUAGCUUUGCACUGGCAUUCGUGUUUGCAUGUGUAGGAUAGGUGGUAGGCUUUGAAGCAAGGGCGCUAGCUCGUGUGGAGCCAUCCUUGAAAUACCACCCUUGUGAAUAUGAAUGUCUAACCGCGGUCCGUCAUCCGGAUCCGGGACCGUGCAUGGUGGGUAGUUUGACUGGGGCGGUCGCCUCCCAAAGUGUAACGGAGGCGCGCGAUGGUGGGCUCAGACCGGUCGGAAAUCGGUCGUCGAGUGCAAUGGCAUAAGCCCGCCUGACUGCGAGACUGACAAGUCGAGCAGAGACGAAAGUCGGCCAUAGUGAUCCGGUGGUCCCACGUGGACGGGCCAUCGCUCAACGGAUAAAAGGUACUCUGGGGAUAACAGGCUGAUGAUGCCCAAGAGUCCAUAUCGACGGCAUCGUUUGGCACCUCGAUGUCGACUCAUCACAUCCUGGGGCUGGAGAAGGUCCCAAGGGUUCGGCUGUUUGCCGAUUAAAGUGGUACGUGAGUUGGGUUCAGAACGUCGUGAGACAGUUCGGUCCCUAUCUGCCGUGGGUGUAGGAAUAUUGAGAGGAUCUGUCCUUAGUACGAGAGGACCGGGAUGGACGUACCUCUGGUGGACCUGUUGUGGCGCCAGCCGCAUUGCAGGGUAGCUAUGUACGGACGGGAUAACCGCUGAAAGCAUCUAAGCGGGAAACCCACCUCAAAACGAGUAUUCCCUUGAGAGUCGUGGUAGACCACCACGUUGAUAGGCCGGGUGUGGAAGUGCGGCAACGCAUGUAGCUUACCGGUACUAAUAACUC
rnacentral:rRNA from 1 species